AGGGACGUAGCUCAGUGGUGGAGUGCUUACCUGACGUGCAUGAAGCCCUGGGUUCAAUACCCAGCACCUCAA
rnacentral:tRNA from 1 species